rnacentral:rRNA from 1 species
CGGCAACGUCCUGGCGGCGACCGGCGCACGGGUGAGUAACGCGUAUGCAACCUGCCCUUCACUGGGGGAUAACAGUUGGAAACGACUGCUAAUACCGCAUGACACAUUGGGGUCGCAUGGCCUUGAUGUCAAAGAUUUAUCGCUGAAAGAUGGCCUCGCGUCUGAUUAGCUAGUUGGUGAGGUAACGGCCCACCAAGGCGACGAUCAGUAGCCGGACUGAGAGGUUGAACGGCCACAUUGGGACUGAGAUACGGCCCAGACUCC